rnacentral:lncRNA from 1 species
AGUUGGAAGAAGACUUAUGGCUUAAACAGGUCCAAAUUGAUAAUUUAACGUGAGAGAAGAGGCGCAAUGAAAGAUGGAGAUGGUGUAGGUUCAAUAGGAAGAUUUUUUUUUUAUGUAUUUUGAUUUUUGUUGUUGUUAUGUUCAUUAGCAGCAAAUGAACUAAAAGUAGUUGCAAGAUCUGGUCUAAUAUGGUGUAAAUUUUGUAUACCUCUCUCUAAAUAUAUCAGAUUAUGUUUGUUAUGUUG